CAGCAGCCACGGGAAAACAGAGGGUGCAAGCGUUAAUCGGAAUUACUGGGCGUAAAGCGCGCGUAGGUGGUUUGUUAAGUUGGAUGUGAAAGCCCCGGGCUCAACCUGGGAACUGCAUCCAAAACUGGCAAGCUAGAGUACGGUAGAGGGUGGUGGAAUUUCCUGUGUAGCGGUGAAAUGCGUAGAUAUAGGAAGGAACACCAGUGGCGAAGGCGACCACCUGGACUGAUACUGACACUGAGGUGCGAAAGCGUGGGGAGCAAACAGGAUUAGAUACCCCUGUAGUCCCUGUCUCUUAUAC
rnacentral:rRNA from 1 species